AGGGAGUUAAACCGAGAAGUCACGUCUACUCACACACGUUCUGUGUCCUUCAGAAUUUACAGAAAACAAUUUGACUGUUAUUCCAUAUCCAGUGACCCCUUUGACCAGCUCUGUGCAUUAUGGAUAAAGCAAUCAGAACAUAAAUUGUCAGUUUGGCUCAUCACAGUCCCUGAAGAGCUCAGUGAACACAGUGACCUGUUUUCCCAGUCAUCUCACAAUAAAAACUAAACUGUGCCAGCUUUUUUUAGGAACAUUCUAGAAAAAGUCAUGGUAUAACCUGCCAGCUCAGUUCCAGGAAAAAGUAUUGAGUGAAAUGUUAUGUGAAGACCGAAUGUCUAUUGCACGAUUCAAUACUGUGAUGGUAGGGAUGACCUUCUAAAUAUGGAUGAUGACUACAGCUCCACAUGUGCCCCUAGCAAUUCUCUAGCUGGAUUCUUGCCUCGGAUGUCUAAUACCGUCAUGCUUAGACUGUGAGCAUAUUCUACUGUUUUUCUUGUUAAUGUUUU
rnacentral:lncRNA from 10 species